rnacentral:rRNA from 1 species
UUAACAGGAUUAGAUACCCUGGUAGUCCAUGCCGUAAACGUUGGGCACUAGGUGUGGGGCCAGUUCCACUGGUUCUGUGCCGUAGCUAACGCAUUAAGUGCCCCGCCUGGGGAGUACGGCCGCAAGGCUAAAACUCAAAGGAAUUGACGGGGGCCCGCACAAGCGGCGGAGCAUGCGGAUUAAUUCGAUGCAACGCGAAGAACCUUACCAAGGCUUGACAUGUACGAGAAAGCCCCAGAGAUGGGGUUCUCUUUGGACACUCGUACACAGGUGGUGCAUGGUUGUCGUCAGCUCGUGUCGUGAGAUGUUGGGUUAAGUCCCGCAACGAGCGCAACCCUUAUCUUAUGUUGCCAGCGCGUCAUGGCGGGGACUCGUGAGAGACUGCCGGGGUCAACUCGGAGGAAGGUGGGGACGACGUCAAGUCAUCAUGCCCCUUAUGUCCAGGGCUUCACACAUGCUACAAUGGCCGGUACAGAGGGCUGCGAGACCGUGAGGUGGAGCGAAUCCCUUAAAGCCGGUCUCAGUUCGGAUCGGGGUCUGCAACUCGACCCCGUGAAGUUGGAGUCGCUAGUAAUCGCAGAUCAGCAACGCUGCGGUGAAUACGUUCCCGGGCCUUGUACACACCGCCCGUCACGUCAUGAAAGUCGGUAACACCCGAAGCCGGUGGCCUAACCCCUUGUGGGAGGGAGCCGUCGAAGGUGGGAUCGGCGAUUGGGACGAAGUCGUAACAAGGUAACCAA